rnacentral:rRNA from 1 species
UACGUAGGGUGCAAGCGUUAAUCGGAAUUACUGGGCGUAAAGGGUGCGCAGGCGGUUCUGUAAGUCAGAUGUGAAAUCCCCGGGCUUAACCUGGGAAUUGCGUUUGAAACUGGCGAGCUUGAGUGUGGCAGAGGGGGGGGUGGAAUUCCGCGUGUAGCAGUGAAAUGCGUAGAGAUGCGGAGGAACACCGAUGGCGAAGGCAGCCCCCUGGGCUAACACUGACGCUCAGGCACGAAAGCGUGGGGAGCAAACAGG